ensembl:lncRNA
CUUUUUUUGGACAAUAUUUCUCAAGCUUUUGAAAAUGUCAUUGGUCUAGCCAGCCCCGCCCCUUUCUGGCCAUCCGUUCCCCUGCUGGGGUGUUGCUGGUCUGUGAGGCUCUCUGCAGCUGCUGAUUAAUGGAUUAGGUGCAGCUGGGAGAGCCUCACACCUGCAGCUCAUACCAUCUGCUAAGAAGACCGGCUUCACAUGGCAGGGGACAUGGGACCAUACUGCCUUGCUUCUAGUUCAGAGAAGACGCUGCAGCACUGAGCCGUGGAGCAGUCUGUCUUCCCCCCAGCCAUCCUCUGAUACGAGGACGAGGAUUUCCUGCCCUCCUCAAGGCGAGGAGGUGAACCGAUCGGCCGGCGUGAGCCCUGGACUGUUGCUCCCCGGUAGCCUGAUUUUGCCCUCCCUCACCUGAAGUGAGUUUUUGCCUGAGUGGCAUAACUGUUUAAUUUUGUUAAUAAAACCUGCUGACUGUGACCUGCCAACUGCCUGCUUUGUGUGCACUCACCUUGGGUUCAAACCACCUGCAAACUGUGACAGAAAAUACCCUUUCACAAGGAACAGAUGAGGCUGGGGUAUAAAGAAUUUUUACAGCGAGUGUGUGCAAAUUCGGGUGAGGAAGCUUCUGAUGUAUGUGGCUGGGAUGAGGAGAGGAGGACGACGAUGACAUUGAUGGCAACAUGGCAUUGCUUCGCAUUACAGCAGCACACUUGGUUGUGAGCCUCCUCUCAGCCUCUGCUGCUUUAUUAGGGCUAAAGAAUCCUAUUUUUUGAAUCUGGGAUCCAGGAGGGUGGCCAGUGCCAUAAUGCUCAUUGAUUGUAGUGCGUAGAGCUUCUCUCUUAAUUGGUGUUGGAGGGCUUCAACCAGUGCUCUGCUCUUUAGAGUUUGGAUAUUUACUACGUCUUCUUCCUCCAACGCUCAGUGUAGCAUAGUCAAAAGUGGAAUGACUUUAGAGCCAGAUACUAGUUUCUCCUCUGACAGUUCCACUGUUGCAUCAUUGAAAGGUGCCAGUCUGCUAUAAUGUUAUAGUGUUCGGAUGUGAGAGACGUAAGGUCGGUACGCAGGCCUGCCAGAGCUGCUCCUACAGGUUCUCUCAGGUCAUAAAAGCGCUGGAGCAUAUGGUAGGUACUAUUCCACCUUGUGUCCACCUCCUGAAUUAAUUUCAGUGCCUGCUGGCCCAUUUGCUUUUGCACUGUUGUCAGCCUCUCCUUAAAAAAAUGAAAUUAAAAAAUACAUUCAAGUGUCACUGCAGCAGCAAUUUAAACAAAACAAUGUUAUUUGGAAUAAAAACAAGCACUUGCAAUAAAAACAAAUAAAUACUCACCUUUGCAGUGGUGCUACUCUUGAAGUAGCCCACUAUCUUUCUGGACUUUGCACGGAUGUCAGAAACCUCAGGGUUUUGGUCCAGAGCCUUUUUUACAGUUAGAUUCAAAGCAUGCGCCACACAAUUUGUGUGGUGCAAACGGAGCUCCCUGGCACAAGCCUCCAUAUUUGGAGCACCAUCAGUCACUAGGCAGGUGACUUUAUUGAUGAGACCCCAUUCAGACAUAAGUGCCCAUUUAACACUGACCAGAUUUUCAGCAGUAUGGGCCUGGGGGAAAUGCAGCACCCCUAAAACAACGGACUGCAAAGCAGUACUUGCAUCAAUAAAAUGGCAUGUCACCGCCAAAUAUGCAUCCAUGUUUAUCGAGGUCCACAUAUCAGACGUCAAACUAACAGAGGUUGCCUCUUUGGACUUCUUGUAUCUUUUCUCCACCAUAGCUUUUAAAGCCGAAAAGAGGCAAAAUAAAAGAACACUCUUAGAAUGGCCAUUAUGGGGAAAUGGUGAAAAAUGCUUCAUGUGCUCACAUACGUACCUGUCUUGUGGGGAGAACAUUGCUAGGGUUUAAAGCUUGAACAAGCUUCUUGAACCCUUUGUCCUCCACAGUAGAGAAGGGCUGGGAAUCCUCAAUGACCAUGCUCACCAAGGCCUCAUUCACAUCAUUCUCUCCUGAUGACAAAAUGAAAUCACUAUUUGGUUACAUAUAUAUUGACAAACAAGUAAUAUGCAGAAUAUAAAUUAUUGUUUUAUAAUGCAAAUAUAUAAUUCUAUGUUCUUGGGGGUUUUUUUUUGCUGACUUAUCAUUGCAUCCUAAAAUGCCUUACCUGAGCUUGAUCCACCGUGGUUGGUCUCCUUGUUCUUAUGCAGGGCUCUGUAAUGCCUCAGCAUAGAUGAGGUGGUGGUGUUGUAUCCAAGCUCCUUGGAGCACAACAGACACUUCACCUUUUAAAAUACAAAAAAGAAAAGAAAAAAUAAAUUGG